GCCGUGGCUCCCUGGGCGGGUGCCUGUGGCUCGGGCCAUGAGUCACGCUGGGUAACCCCACUACGGGGAAGAGGGCAGGAAGCUGGGAGCCACCGCCUCUGUGCCCGGUUGUCAUCUCGGCACGAGGGCGACCGUCGGCUUCGUCCUGCCCUCAUGGCUGAGGGCUUUUGGGAUGUGGCGGGAGACGGGGGAGUCCACUUCUCAAACCCGGUGCAUCCUGCAGGGCCGCUGCACUCACAAAAAGGCUGACUCCACACAGGACCUGCCUCCCUGGGCCUUGGCUCAGAUGCACAAUGGACUCCGAGGCCAGGGGACUGCGUAGACAGGGUCGACAUCUGAUGACAAAUUCUCAUCUGCCAAUUAGAGCAAGGUCGGGGCGUGUCACCAACCUCAGUGCCAGGCGGAGCAGAAGGAACAACACGACUAUUUCUUGGGGAAAAAUCUCAACUAGCAACCAAGGAGCUGGCAGGCCUCCCACUGGGCGAGAACAGCGCCCACCUGGUGCCCACCAGACUGAACAGCCCCGUGCAAGUGAGGCCGGGUGGAGAAGUCCCCCAGCUGCCUGCAGACAGGGCCUCGCUGUCAAG
rnacentral:lncRNA from 10 species